rnacentral:lncRNA from 1 species
CCACAGCAUGUCAUCAAUGUGAGAACAGAGCCACCAUCUGAGUGCAUCUUGCCCUGAGUCCCAAUAGCCCCCACAUCACCACAUCCCUGGGACCCCACUUACAGUCCUCCACAUCUACACAGAAGACUGCGGCAUUACAACACCAGCUGGACCCAGCAGUGCAGCCAUGACUCUGGCACCUGAGCAUCAGUGUGCACUUGAAGGCAUAGGCAGUCCGGCACAGAGAGGAGAUUGCCUCCAGGACAGUGGAAGCUGAUGCACUUGCUCCCCAGAACCUGAGAGCUGCUUGACUGGGACCCACUGCUGGCCUCACUAGUGACCCUGCCCCCUCCAAAGGUGGAGUCACCAGAUACCUGCACAUACCCACUGCAGGGCCUGAGGACUGGCCUGUCCAGCAUCCCUGCUCCCAACACAGCCAUCCUAUAGCUUUCACAAACAACUGCAGCCUAGGCCACCCGGGCACUCACAGACACCACUGACACUGAUUAUGGUUGAAGAAAUCAAAUGAAGACUAUACUACUAUGGCUACCCAGAACCAAAGGCAAAGUACCUUACCCAAUUGACACCACUGGACACAUCUACAGGAAAAAUCUUUCCUUACAAAAGCUACUCCAUUAAAGUUGGAAGAAGUGGCUGUUCCACCAGAUGUGCAGAUAUCAACAUAGGGACACAAGAAACCUGAAAAAGCAAGGAAACAGAAUAUCUUCAAAGGAACACAAUAAUCCUCUAGUAACUGACUUCAAAGAAAAAGAAAUCUAUAAAAUGCCUGGAAAGGAAUUCAAAACAAUCAUCUUAAGGAAACUCAGCAAGAUUUAACAGAACACGGAUGAUUCAACAGAAGCAGGAAAAGAAUUCAUAAUUUGAAUGAGAAAUUUAACAAAAAGUUAUCAUGAAAAGGAAUGAAAUGGAACUCCUGGCACUGAAAGAAAAAAUACAAUUGAGGGCUUCAGCAAUAGACUAGAUCAAGAAGAAAUAACUUCUGAACUUCAAGACAGAUCUUUUGAAAUAAUCCAGUUAGAUAAGAAAAAAGAAUGAAAAAAACCUACAGGACAUACGGGACACCAUUAAGUGAAAAAGUGUUUCCAUUAUGGGAGUUCCACAGGAGAAGAGAUAGGAAAAACAAAUUAAAUAAUAACUGAAAAUCUCCAAAAUCAUAGGAGAGGUAUGGACAUCCAAAUACAGGAAAUUCAAAAUUUCCUAUACAGGAAAUUCAAAAUUUUCUAUACAGGUUCAACCCAAAAAUGCCUUCUCCAAGCCUCACUAUUAUCUAACUGUCAAAAGUCAAAGACAGAGAAAAGACAAUGCAAGGAAAAAUGCAUUAAGUCAGAUAUAAGGAAACCUCCAUCAGACUAACAGCAGAUUUCUCAGUAGCAGCCUUACAGGCCAGCUUCUCACAGAAACACUGCAGAACUCUUGGUGACUUCGACACAUCUUGCAGAAUCCCACAUGCCUUAGAACUCUUACCUACAAGUACUGGAAACCAGUUGAAGCCAGCUUCUUAUAUAAGCAAGGUAGUAGAGUGUUAGUUUCGCAAGAUGAUGAGCG